rnacentral:rRNA from 1 species
UACGUAGGUGGCGAACGUUAUCCGGAGUGACUGGGUGUAAAGGGUCCGUAGGCGGGAGGGCAAGUCUGACGUGAAAGCGCCCGGCUCAACUGGGCGAGUGCGUUGGAAACUGCUCUUCUUGAAUCACGCAGAGGUCGGCGGAAUUCCCGGUGUAGUGGUGGAAUGCGUAGAGAUCGGGAGGAACCUCGAAAGCGAAGGCAGCCGACUGGGGGAUGAUUGACGCUGGAGGGACGAAAGCGUGGGGAGCGAACAGG